AAAAAAAAUACGUUAUUUAAUUAAGUAUUAAUUGUAAACGUUGUCCUUCAAUGUUGUUAUAUUUUUAGUAACGGAAUGUGUAAUGUAAAGUUUUUUAAAAGUAAACAAAUAAAAUUGUAUUUGAAUAAAGCAAAAAGGGAAGUCGUUACUGGUAUAAAAUAAAGACGAAGACAGAAAAAAAUACUGACCAAUGUAUUGCCCAUCGCGAGAGGGCCUCCUGAGUCACCUCCACAGGUGCUUCUGCCACCGCUAUUAGACGUGCAUAAAGUGGAAGAGACGACAAUGCCGGCAACAUAUGAUCUAGCACAUGUGUUGUUAUCAAUUACUUGCAGGCUUACAUGUCUCGCUACACUUGAUACUCCGCCGGCUGAAAUUAAAUUACUCGUUCUUCCGAAACCAGCAGCUACAGCCGUAACACCGUUAAAGUGGUUGUAGCCAUUGUAUAACACGAUGGGCCGAAUGUUGU
rnacentral:misc_RNA from 1 species